ensembl:lncRNA
UGACAUCACAAAACCCCAUACUUGGGCUGGAACUGUUAGAAAUGUUCAAGUGCAUGUGGGGAAGUAAAACUGUAACCAUGUGGCUUUGGGAAGUCAUAGCAUGCCCAGCCUAUUACUUGCUUCAGUAGCUGGGUGCAACUAGAUCAGCAUUCAUAAAAACAACAAGCUGGCUGAGAAACAAGGAUACUUGAAUUCCUUUUCCUUCUUCUGUUGCUACCCUGCAAGACAGCUCCGACUGAAAGUAUGGCAGUUUGCUGGAAAAAGCAGAAGUAUGAGGCCCCUCUGAGUCAGCAAAGGCAACUCCGUUGUAAAAGCAAUACAGAGGAGUGACAGCUUGCUUACAAGAGUGUUCCCACCUUACUUUUGGCAGAGCUACACUAACAUCAGAAACCGUGAGAAUUUGGAAGAAGGGAAAAACUAUGCAAAUACUACCAAGUGGUAACUAAUUCUUGUUUUGGGAAUAUGUUGAGUGUCUGGUCCUAAAACUGGGAUUCACAAAGGAGUGAGGAGGCAGAAAACACCUACGUGUCUAAAGAAGCUGACAAGUACUCAUUGAGUUUCUCAGAGAUAUCUGAGCAAUUUGGAUCUGUAACUCCCCUGGAUUUAAACAUGAAUCUAAAUGCACGUGAAACACCUUUCACAACUUCAUCUGGCUAAAAUUUGGAGAAAUUAAAUGAAUAAUUUCCUUACAUUUGUGUCUUACUCAAGAUCACAGAAUAAAAUGGUAGAAUGAAUCAUAGAAUCAUAAAAUCAUAGAAUUGUUAAGGUUGAAAAAGACCACUAAGAUCAUCUAGUCCAACUGUUAACCCAUCCCCACCAUACCCACUAUCCAUUUCCCCCAGUGCCACAUCUCCACUGUUCUUGAGCACCCCGAGGGAUGGUGACUCCACCACCACCCUGGGCAACUCUGAUUUUUGGUAACUUAUUUCUUUCUCUGAAGGAAAGUAGUAGACAGCUUAAAAACACAUCAGUAAAGCAAAGUUCCCAAAGACAUUAUAUUAACUUUUUUUUUUUCUUUUUUUUGAGAACUGAGUGCAGCUAUCUGACAAACAGCCUUAGUCUUUCCCUUGGCAGUUUAACAAAAGACCAUAAACUCUCUUUGGGCAAUCGGUUGAUGGGACUCAGAGCUCUUGCAUUUAUGCAAGCAUCAGACAAAGCUUAGGGAAAAGAGGGAGAUGAUAUGUUCUCAAAUGAUUCAGUAUUGCUACUGCAGCAGGUGGGAUGGGAAUGGGCUCAAAAGAAAGGUGGAAACUCCUCAGCAGAUCUAAGUAAUAGAGACUGCAAUAAAGCUGAUUUAGACAUAAGGCUUAUCCUUUAUCUGUCUGAAAAUAUUGUCUGUUUCCUAAUUUUAUCAAUCAGAAAAAAGCCAACAACAACAAAACAGAUCAUCGUCAUUCAGGCUCCAUCUGAAAAAAAAACAACACUUGGUAGAUUUCCCCACCAGCAGAUCAGAUCUUCCUGCUAAACACUCGGGCUUAGGUUAGAAAAUAAAAGCAGCAAGGAGAAAUUUUGUUCUCGCUCUGAAUGGGCCCUCCUGGCUUCCACCAGAAACAGCAAGACUUCUCUAUGAUAUCUUAAUCUUUUGGGUAUGUUAUGGAGCAGUCGAUGGCUAUUAAUUCUGUUUGUUCAUAUACCCUUUCCUGCAUGUGCUUCUGUAAACAUAUUCAGAGCUUGUAAAAUGUUAAUUAGGAAUAAAAUAAAAUAAAUAAAGCAAUAAUCUGAACCUUCCGGUCUCUUUUGGCCCAGAGUACGUGCUUGCUGUUAACUAUUUCCA